CUCUGGGUUGGGGCUGUCAGGUCGGCCUCGUUCACUGUUUGUCUUUCCAGUUUUAGGCACAAUAGCCUACUGUUCUCCGGAAAACAGGGAAACGCUCCUGUCGCCAUUUGGUAAAGGAAUUUUGAAAAAAAGAAGAAGAAGAAAAGGAGAAGAAGUUAUGUGACUUUCCAGCAAAAAUAGUUCAUUUUUAAGUGAGGCAUUAAUGGGAUCACAAGAACAGCCUCCUGAACGCAGAAUAAGCACAGCAUACCCUGGGCAAGACUUGCAUUUGUGGUCAUUGUCAAUGACACACCAUAACAACCCCCGAGGGAAGCACUGGAAGCAGUAUCCAGAGGCAACACAUCAGAUGAUGCCACAGCGUGAAUGAUGAUGUAACCAGCACGAAAUAACUGAUGUUAGCGAGUUGCAGGGACAAAAAGAUCUGUAUUACUUCCGUACAAAUAGCUUGCAAAGAGCCAUGGCAUUGUUGGCUGUGUGAUGCAGUUUGAGCAAGGUGAAAGGGUUACUGUGCCAGUUCUGGGCCUAAGUCAUCAGAAACCAUGGCGGCAUGUGAAACAUGUGAACUGUGCUUCGGAAAUCUCUCAGCACCAUUUAAGAAGUUCAGCCACCUUGCUGCUGCUGGAAAGACCACGUGAGGGAGACACAGAGCAAGGGAGAGACCUGACACUACACGGUGAGAGCAAGAGAUCCUGUCAUAGCAGCCCAGCUCAUGGGCUCCAGCUUCCACCUCUACUUGUCAAAGGGCCAGACAUGUGCAUGAAGCCUCUUUGGUAUUGCACCCCCAUCCACAGCCUUGUGAGUGACCUUUGAGCCAUUUGCCUGUAUCCCUGUCCACCCAUGGAAUCAUGAAAAGCAAUAAAAAGGUCAUACCAAGCCACUAUGUUAGCUGAUCACCAAAUCAGGACUCAGCAGGCGAUAAUCAGUCGUGGCAUCAAGCAUCAGUGAGAUGAUGGUUACCCAUCCCUCACUCAACAGAUGCAAAACAGUCAGUCAGCAUCCUGAACCAGGGCUCAGAGACUGGAUGGGCAGGCAGGGUGCAAUAGCAGGUGUCCAGCAAACGGGACAUCCCCACAUUUGUUGUCAACCUCGCACACUCCUCCACUCUCCAUCAUGCUCAUCCCAUCAAUCCCACACUUCUGAUCAAGAGAGAUGAGGUAUCAAACAAGUGUGACAGUGGGACAUCCAUCCAUACCUGGGCCAGGCAGUAAGGCUAGGUGAUCACCCAGCUGGCAGGGUCUUGAGGACAGGAAGCCAAUACCUGAUGAGAUGUUGUAGCAGAAAUGGCUGAAGGUGAUUACCAGUUAGUCCUUUGUUUUUGUGGACAAGGGCACAGAUUUCACCCAGUUAAUUUGGCUUCAUUCCAUGGCCACAGACUAAACCU